CGCCUACGGGAGGCAGCAGUGAGGAAUAUUGGACAAUGGGAGCAAUCCUGAUCCAGCCAUGCCGCGUGCAGGAAGACAGUCCUAUGGAUUGUAAACUGCUUUUAUACAGGAAGAAAAAGUCCGACUUGUCGGAUAUUGACGGUACUGUACGAAUAAGAAUCGGCUAACUCCGUGCCAGCAGCCGCGGUAAUACGGAGGAUUCAAGCGUUAUCCGGAAUCAUUGGGUUUAAAGGGUUCGUAGGCGGGAUAAUAAGUCAGUGGUGAAAGUUUGUGGCUCAACCAUAAAAUUGCCAUUGAUACUGUUGUUCUUGAGUUACACAGAACACCAAUUGCGAAGGCAUAUCACUAACAAUAUACUGACGCUGAUGAACGAAAGCGUAGGUAGCCAACAGGAUUAGAUACCCUGGUAGUCUACGCUGUAAACGAUGGUUACUAGCUGUUCGUCACGCCUUAGGCGAGAUGAGUGGUUAAGCGAAAGUGAUAAGUAACCCACCUGGGAGGUUCCGUCCUAGG
rnacentral:rRNA from 1 species